UGGAAGGCAGCAGGGGGAAUAUUGCACAAUGGGCGCAAGCCUGAUGCAGCCAUGCCGCGUGUAUGAAAAAGGCCUUCGGGUUGUAAAGUACUUUCAGUCGUGAGGAAGGUGUUAAGGUUAAUAACCUUAGCAAUUGACGUUAGCGACAGAAGAAGCACCGGCUAACUCCGUGCCAGCAGCCGCGGUAAUACGGAGGGUGCGAGCGUUAAUCGGAAUUACUGGGCGUAAAGGGCACGCAGGCGGUUAAUUAAGUUGGAUGUGAAAUCCCCGGGCUUAACCUGGGAAUGGCAUUCAAGACUGGUUAGCUAGAGUCUUGUAGAGGGGGUUAGAAUUCCAUGUGUAGCGGUGAAAUGCGUAGAGAUGUGGAGGAAUACCGGUGGCGAAGGCGGCCCCUGGACAAAGACUGACGCUCAUGUGCGAAAGCGUGGGGAGCAAACAGGGAUUAGAUACC
rnacentral:rRNA from 1 species